rnacentral:rRNA from 1 species
AGUGCUAAGAGAAUGAUUCAACAAUUAAGAACUUUCUUCAAAUUAAAAAUUGAAUUUAGUUUUAUUGUGAAGAAACAAUAAUAAUAAUUAGGGACAAGAAGACCCUAUGAAUUUUAGAAUUAUUUAUUUAAAAGAUAAUUUAUAAAAUAAAUAAAUUUUGUUGGGGCGAUAGAAAAAGAAUAUUUAUCUUUUUUCAAAAAAAUUAAUUUUGAUCCGUUAUUAAUGAUAAUGUGAAAUAAAUACUCUAGGGAUAACAGCG